GUCGGAGGAGGCGCAGGGUGAGGCGGAGGCUGAGGAUGCGGGGGGCAGGCCCAAGAGGCAGCAGCGCUUCAGGCCACCCUCGGGCAGGAACUGUGCUGUCCAGAGAGCAUGGUCACCAGGUGGAAUCAGAAGGAGCAAACACAUAGCCCCCCAUCUCCAGGGCUGGGAAUCCUGGGCCCAACACUUCCAGCAGAAAGCUCCGAGUGGCUUAAAGAUCGGAUUUGAAGCUGUGACUUUGUGGAGCUUAAAAAAAAAGUUGAAGUCCUAAACCCCUUUGUGACUGGAUUUGGAGGUAGGGCCUUCAGGGAGGUAAUUAAGGUUAAAUAAGGUCACAGGGUGGGCCCUGAUCCAACCAGACUGGAGUCCUUGAAAGAAGAAAAGACACCAGGGGUGUGCACACCGAGAAAAGACCGUGUGAGGACAGAGCAAGUGAGAAGGUGGCCAUCUGCAAGCCAAGGAGAGAGAUCUCAGGAGAAACCAAACCUGCAGACACCUUGACCUUGGACUUCCAACUUCCCUAACUGUGAGG